UACGUAGGGACCAAGCGUUGUUCGGAUUUACUGGGCGUAAAGGGCGCGUAGGCGGCGUGGUAAGUCAGCUGUGAAAUCUCCGAGCUUAACUCGGAACGGUCAGCUGAUACUGCUGUGCUAGAGUACAGAAGGGGCAAUCGGAAUUCUUGGUGUAGCGGUGAAAUGCGUAGAUAUCAAGAGGAACACCUGAGGUGAAGACGGGUUGCUGGGCUGAUACUGACGCUGAGGCGCGAAAGCUAGGGUAGCAAACGGGAUUAGAAACCCCCGUAGUCC
rnacentral:rRNA from 1 species